UCAACCGCAGUCUGGGCCAGGAGGCUCU
rnacentral:piRNA from 1 species